GGGCGAGUGGCGGAAUGGUAUACGCGACGGACUUAAAAUCCGUUGGGAGUUAAUCCCGUGAGGGUUCGAGUCCCUCCUCGCCCACCA
rnacentral:tRNA from 1 species